rfam:Spirochaetes bacterium RIFOXYC1_FTLL_54_7 rifoxyc1_full_scaffold_1586, whole genome shotgun sequence.
GGGCUGCUAGCUCAGUAGGUAGAGCAACGCCCUUUUAAGGCGUGGGUCACAAGUUCGAAUCUUGUGCAGCUCA